rnacentral:tRNA from 1 species
AGGCGGGUAGCUCAGCGGUAGAGCAGCGCCCUUACAAGGCGACGGUCGCAGGUUCGAUCCCUGUUCCGCCUA